GUGUCCUCUCAGAGGUCCAGCUGGUGGAGUCCGGAGGAGAUGUCAAAAGGCCCGGAGAGUCCCUCCAUCUCUCCUGUCGAGCCUCCGGGUUCAACUUUGGAGGCUCUGACAUGAACUGGGUGAGGCAGGCUCCCGGGAAGAUCCCAGAAUGGGUGGCAUUUAUAAGGUAUGAUAGAAGCUUCCAAUACUAUUCUGGCUCAGUGCGAGGACGUUUCACCGUCUCCAGGGACAACCCUUCCAGCAUGGUGUAUCUUCAAAUUGACAGCCUGAAACUUGAAGACUCGGCCAUGUAUUACUGUGCUACCCACAGUGAAACAAAGUGA